rnacentral:rRNA from 1 species
AGAGUUUGAUCAUGGCUCAGGACGAACGCUGGCGGCGCGCCUAACACAUGCAAGUCGAACGAGCGAGAGAGAGCUUGCUUUCUCGAGCGAGUGGCGAACGGGUGAGUAACGCGUGAGGAACCUGCCUCAAAGAGGGGGACAACAGUUGGAAACGACUGCUAAUACCGCAUAAGCCCACGGUGCCGCAUGGCACAGAGGGAAAAGGAGCAAUCCGCUUUGAGAUGGCCUCGCGUCCGAUUAGCUAGUUGGUGAGGUAACGGCCCACCAAGGCAACGAUCGGUAGCCGGACUGAGAGGUUGAACGGCCACAUUGGGACUGAGACACGGCCCAGACUCCUACGGGAGGCAGCAGUGGGGAAUAUUGCACAAUGGGGGAAACCCUGAUGCAGCGACGCCGCGUGGAGGAAGAAGGUCUUCGGAUUGUAAACUCCUGUUGUUGGGGAAGAUAAUGACGGUACCCAACAAGGAAGUGACGGCUAACUACGUGCCAGCAGCCGCGGUAAAACGUAGGUCACAAGCGUUGUCCGGAAUUACUGGGUGUAAAGGGAGCGCAGGCGGGAAGACAAGUUGGAAGUGAAAUCUAUGGGCUCAACCCAUAAACUGCUUUCAAAACUGUUUUUCUUGAGUAGUGCAGAGGUAGGCGGAAUUCCCGGUGUAGCGGUGGAAUGCGUAGAUAUCGGGAGGAACACCAGUGGCGAAGGCGGCCUACUGGGCACCAACUGACGCUGAGGCUCGAAAGUGUGGGUAGCAAACAGGAUUAGAUACCCUGGUAGUCCACACCGUAAACGAUGAUUACUAGGUGUUGGAGGAUUGACCCCUUCAGUGCCGCAGUUAACACAAUAAGUAAUCCACCUGGGGAGUACGACCGCAAGGUUGAAACUCAAAGGAAUUGACGGGGGCCCGCACAAGCAGUGGAGUAUGUGGUUUAAUUCGACGCAACGCGAAGAACCUUACCAAGUCUUGACAUCCCUUGACAGGCAUAGAAAUAUGUUUUCUCUUCGGAGCAAGGAGACAGGUGGUGCAUGGUUGUCGUCAGCUCGUGUCGUGAGAUGUUGGGUUAAGUCCCGCAACGAGCGCAACCCUUAUGGUCAGUUACUACGCAAGAGGACUCUGGCCAGACUGCCGUUGACAAAACGGAGGAAGGUGGGGAUGACGUCAAAUCAUCAUGCCCUUUAUGACUUGGGCUACACACGUACUACAAUGGCGUUAAACAAAGAGAAGCGAGACCGCGAGGUGGAGCAAAACUCAGAAACAACGUCCCAGUUCGGACUGCAGGCUGCAACUCGCCUGCACGAAGUCGGAAUUGCUAGUAAUCGUGGAUCAGCAUGCCACGGUGAAUACGUUCCCGGGCCUUGUACACACCGCCCGUCACACCAUGAGAGCCGGGGGGACCCGCAGUCGGUAGUCUAACCG